rnacentral:piRNA from 1 species
UGACCCAGGAGCAGGUGUUGUUCAUCAGU